UCACCAUUUGGCUAUGAUGUCAGCCUUUAAACGCGAAAAAGCUGAUGACAUCUGUUAGGGU
rnacentral:ncRNA from 2 species